rnacentral:rRNA from 1 species
UACGUAGGGGGCAAGCGUUGUCCGGAAUCAUUGGGCGUAAAGAGCGUGUAGGCGGCCAGAAAAGUCCGCUGUGAAAACUCGAGGCUCAACUUCGAGCUGUCGGUGGAAACUUUCUGGCUAGAGUCCGGAAGAGGAGAGUGGAAUUCCUGGUGUAGCGGUGGAAUGCGCAGAUAUCAGGAGGAACACCGGUGGCGAAGGCGGGUCUCUGGGCCGACAUUGACGCUGAGGAGCGAAAGCGUGGGGAGCGAACAGG